UACGUAGGAGGCGAGCGUUGUCCGGAGUUACUGGGCGUAAAGCGUGCGCAGGCGGUUCGUUAUGUCCGAUGUGAAAGCCCCGAGCUCAACUUGGGAAUGGCAUUGGAAACUGGGGGACUUGAGUACAGAAGAGGAAAGCGGAAUUCCACGUGUAGCGGUGAAAUGCGUAGAGAUGUGGAGGAACACCAGUGGCGAAGGCGGCUUUCUGGUCUGUAACUGACGCUGAGGCGCGAAAGCGUGGGGAGCAAACAGG
rnacentral:rRNA from 1 species